UACGUAGGGUCCGAGCGUUGUCCGGAAUUAUUGGGCGUAAAGAGCUCGUAGGCGGUUCGUCGCGUCUGCUGUGAAAUCCCGAGGCUCAACCUCGGGCCUGCAGUGGGUACGGGCAGACUUGAGUGCGGUAGGGGAGAAUGGAAUUCCUGGUGUAGCGGUGGAAUGCGCAGAUAUCAGGAGGAACACCGAUGGCGAAGGCAGUUCUCUGGGCCGUAACUGACGCUGGGGAGCGAAAGCGUGGGGAGCGAACAGA
rnacentral:rRNA from 1 species